UCAUUGAAAGAAAAAAAUAUUUCAGACAGAUUGCUAGUGGGAUUAGUUGGAAGAUUUUAAACAUUGAAAUGUAUUUUGCAUUUAUAUGAUACUAAGGUGAAACAGAUAAUCAACAUUUGGGGAAAAAAACAAAUAUGCAGAAUCUAACUCCUAAAGCUGAACUACCUACUCAAACUGUCUUUUGUCACUAAAAGAUAAAUAGCUUGAAGAAAAUUGUUUGAACCUACAAUGUUUAAAUUCAAGUAUUCACACAUGAUUUGAAAUCAUUAAUAACAAUUUUCUUCAUGUUUCCCUAUUCCAGAAAGUUCCAAUGUUGACGACAGCAAGGGUUGUCAAAAUAAAGGAAGAAGCUCAGUCUUCAUCCCAGCCAGUACAGACCAUGAACUACUCUGUCAUUGUCAAGGACUUACAACAAAAAAGGCCUGGGGACUAUUCUGUGCGAGAGGACAGCAUUGACAAGUAUGUGCGUUACUCUUAUCCAGGCAGGGGGAGAGGAAUGAAAAUGGAAAUGGAGCCAGGGAACCCAACAUGGUAGCACACAAACUGAUCAUCUACUCUCCACUCCAUGUUUGGUUUGAAUAGCAAUUUAGUCACAUUUUUGUCCCUGAUCAUUUCUAGAAUUAGAAGUGAAUACAUUGAUUCUGCAUAUUAUGCUUGCAACUGCUUUUGUGAUGGCCUUAAUGAUGUCAUUGGUCUUUGCUUUGUCACCAUGUCAUUGGUCAUUGCUUUGUCACCAUGUCAUUGGUCUUUGCUUUGUCACCAUGUCAUUCUUUUUUUUUAAGCUUCUAUCAUUUUGUGAUUUGUUUCGCAUUGGAGAUUUGAUAAUAUAAAAACAUUCUUUUUAUUGUAUUCUUUAUUUAGCUACAUACAAUUUUCUUUUCAAAUAUUUCUUUAUCAUAAGUUUAACCAAAACUAUAUCCUUUGUUUUCACUUAUAUUUAUCUUUUGAUCCUGUGUACAGUGUACAGAUUCUAUUGUUCACUCUUUGAGACAUGUCUCUUCUUGAAUUUGAUGUAAGUUUCUUUAAUCUGGAUCAUAACAAAUACAGUCAUCUUCAGAACUCCCCUAAUGCAUAAGAUAUUAGUGUCCUUUCAUUCUGUCUCAAGUAAUGCUUUCGGAAUAUGAGACCUAUUUCUUCUGCUCUUUCUCCUGCAUGUCUUCACUUCAGAGACAUUUGUUUUCAAUGUUAAACACAUGAUCCAGUCCAGUCUUCUGAAUGUUAUUCCUUUCCAAGUUUUACUUCGUGUUGUUUUGUUUGAUAGCUUGCUUUGAUAGAAUCUAGUGAUGCUAGCCUAACUUUCCUCUUUUAUCCUGACAGGCUCAGAGAGAUCCCCUUGAAGUAGUUCAGUGAUAUACAUAGAUGCUUCAUUAUCUUUUAAUAAAUAUAAGCAAAGAAAGAGAUGCAUUUAUUGAUAAAUAUUUCAUAUUGAGAGCACAAAGCUUUUGUUUUAUAUGUUACUGUUCAUUUUUUGACUUUGAUAUACAUUUGAUAGAUCUUAGCUAGUGAAGCUAUCUUGAGAAGAUCAAUGUCAUUGUUACCUAAAAGUAUUCUAUGAUUAGAGCUAAGUACAGUGAUGAUGAUGCCAGAUGUUAUUAAGAUGUAAACACCAUAAACACAGAUUGUUUAACUGGCAAUUAGUGGCAGCUUAUCACAACUUAUUUUCUCCAUAUAGAAUUCAGCAGUUUGUAAGUGUUCAUGCCUAAUGAUUCAGAAGAGUGUAAGCAAUCCUAGUUUCAUGGUAUGUUGGAUUCAUCUAUCCCAUGAUUCAAUAGAAUGUUAACACUUUUUUUGUCAUUAUUUUUUUGUCCUGAUAAAAAUGUACAAUGCUAUUUUGCAUCUGCACCUUGUGUGCAUUGAGUUUUUCCUUUGUUACCAUACAGUUUAUAGUUUUAGUUUACAUUUUUUUUAUGGAAUCGUUACAUUUAUAUUUGGUUUUAAAUCAAAUGUUUGAUUUUUCAUAAUAUUAUUCAUCUUCUAUGUACACACAGUAGUUUUUACAAUUAUGUUUUAAUCUUUUGAAACUUCUUUAUAAGGCUUUGAGUUGAGAAAGUACAUCCACAUGGCUUCAUCUCUUACUUUGAGGGAGUUUAUUUAUAAAACUUGAGAAUUGAAGUUUUGUAGAUGAUACAAGUAUUUUAAUGGAUGAUAUUAUAAGAUAAUAUCAUAGAUACCUAUCAUUUGUAUUAAGAUACUGUUGAUAUUAUAAAUAGUCAUUUACUUUUAUACUGCCAUGUUUAAAUGAGCCUAUAGCUGACCUCAUCCAAUUAGUUGUUUGACUACCACCAAAUCUACCGUCUCAUUCUCCCAUGUUAGCUAUUUGAGAACUAUUACACAACUAACAGUACAUCCUAGUCCUUAUCAGACAUUGUAUUCUCAUUAAUUAGGGGAUGUCUGGAAGCAGAAAUAGAUGCUUGGAAUGUGUGACCAGGAACUGCAACAAAUAGUGACAUAGUCUGUGUGAAAGGGAUUAUUAGACCUCUUAAAUUGUUACUUGUCUUGGUUAGCUCCAUUACCUUGUGCAUUUACUGGGCUCUGUGUACAAGAAAUCACACAUUUAAGAUACAAGUAUUCUUUAGGUUUAGUAGUGAUUGUUACAUGAAAGGUUCAUUCACUUUUGUGUGUACUUUAGUGGAGUUAAUAAAUCUUGUUGGGCCUGUGGUGAAAUUAAACUCUAUAUCCAAACCUCAGCUGUCUUUCAGUUGUAACCAAACAUGGGAAAGGCAAUGAAGAAACAUCAGGAAAAGCAGCUUCUUUCUGACAAGAACCUGGGACUCUGCUGAUCCCAAACCUGUCAUUUAUUUCCCUUGCCUUUGGAUCUUUGUGGAGAGUUAAUGCACUGGCUUUUAUCUUGUAUGAGAUGAACAACUAAAGGCGCCCUCCAUAUUGUGAAAUGAUUGUGUCAUAUUGUUUGAGCUAGUUGUCCUUUAAUUGGCCAUUGAUCAGUUGUAGUAAAUCAUAUUGUGUACCUGCAUUCUACUAAUGAAUGUAAAGAUGGAAAAGUUGUGGAAGUUGAUUUUUUAGUAUUACUUUUUUAAGUUAAGUUAGUCAUUAUUGAUUUUUGUUUCUUAGGUGUGUGUGGAAGCGAACUUUGAGAAAUGCAUUCCUAAGA
rnacentral:sRNA from 1 species